GACGAACGCUGGCGGCGUGCCUAAUACAUGCAAGUAGAACGCUGAAGGAGGAGCUUGCUUCUCUGGAUGAGUUGCGAACGGGUGAGUAACGCGUAGGUAACCUGCCUGGUAGCGGGGGAUAACUAUUGGAAACGAUAGCUAAUACCGCAUAAGAUUGACUAUUGCAUGAUAGUCAGUUAAAAGGUGCAAUUGCAUCACUACCAGAUGGACCUGCGUUGUAUUAGCUAGUUGGUGGGGUAACGGCUCACCAAGGCGACGAUACAUAGCCGACCUGAGAGGGGGACCUGCGACACUGGGACUGACACCGGGCCCACACUCAUAGGCGAGGCAGAAGGAGGGAAGCUGCGGCAAUGGCCGGAAGUCUGGCCGAGCAGCGGCGCGUGAGUAAAGAGGGUUCUGGGGUCAUAAAGCUUUGUUGAAAAAGAAGAACGGGUGGGAGUGUGGAAAGUUCACAUUUUGACGAUAUCUCACAAGAAGGGGCCGCCUACCUACGUGAGGGCUGCCGCUGUAAGAGAUGGAAAGAGCACACGCAC
rnacentral:rRNA from 1 species